GCAUUAUCCUCUGUGUAUGUAUAUGAUUGUGCAAAUAAUAUUUAAGAAAAUAUACAGAAAUGGCAGCACACUAUAUAUACUACUCUGCUAACUUUUUUCACUUAACACAGAGACCAGGAAAAGACUCUUAAAGGAGGCCUUUGAGCAGAUGAAUGAAUGACGACAGAGUCACCUGUGCAAGAUCUGAAGGAACAGUCAUAUUCCAUACAGAAGGCACAGCAGCCUGGUGAUAGAUACAGCAAGUGAUACAGCAGCAAGUAAGACAGCAGGAAACCAGAAUUCCCAGUGGUCACACUUUGGAGGUAAA
rnacentral:lncRNA from 1 species